UGAUAAGCAGUGGAAUUAGCAUGCUCGUGUUUGUGUCCGAAGACGCCUUCAUCAGGACCUUACAUGCACACAAAUGCACGCAUGCGCGUUUGUCCUCAACAAUAACUGAGCCAGGCAGGGCUGCUAUCUGCCUACCCAGAAGGGUGGACUGGACACUGAUGAACAUGGAGGGUAUUGCUGGUAUGCCCUGUUGAAUUGGAGCAGUGAGGAG